rnacentral:rRNA from 1 species
GUAGGUGGCAAGCGUUGUCCGGAAUUAUUGGGCGUAAAGCGCGCGCAGGCGGUCCUUUAAGUCUGAUGUGAAAGCCCACGGCUCAACCGGGGAGGGUCAUUGGAAACUGGGGGACUUGAGUACAGAAGAGGAAAGCGGAAUUCCAAGUGUAGCGGUGAAAUGCGUAGAGAUUUGGAGGAACACCAGUGGCGAAGGCGGCUUUCUGGUCUGUAACUGACGCUGAGGCGCGAAAGCGUGGGGAGCAAACAGGAUUAGAUACCCUGGUAGUCCACGCCGUAAACGAUGAGUGCUAAGUGUUAGGGGGUUUCCCGCCCCCCUUAGUGCUGCAGCUAACGCAUUAAGCACUCCGCCUGGGGAGUACGGCCGCAAGGCUG